CGUUUCCGUCCCCUCUCUCCUCUCCCUCCCCUUUCCUCCUCGGGAAAAUUCUCUCUUAUUCCCGAGAAAAUUUCCGGAGAUUUGAUGGGAAAAUGAUCUUCACCGCCUCAUGAAUCGACGGGGAGAGUUUUCUGGAUUCUCCUCGGAAAUUAUCCGGAAGGGAGGGGAAGAGGGAGAGAGAACAAUAAUUCAAGCCGCGAGGACAUCGAGGUUUUGUUUGUUCUGAUUGAUUGAUGCGAAACUCUGACACGGUUCUGUCUUCUGAUAUCGGAAUUCCAACAUUUCCCCGGGAACUUCCGACAUAAUGGAUCCGGAAAUGUCCGGGGCAGGGUUUACGGUUGAGGAAUUCGACAUCGAUUUCGAGUACGACGCCCCUCGAUUCUAUGAUUUCUCCAGACCGGAAUCCGAUUCGGAGACCAAAGAAGCCGAGCUCUGGUUCGAACGUUCAGGAGAUUAUCCUCCUUCUCGUUUUAGCCUACUGUCCAACUGGAGGAACGAUUUCCUCGAGCAAUUUAUAAGCAACAACGGAGAUUAUAAAACGGGCGAGACUCGAAAUCCCAACAUCACAUCCUUGAAUGUCGGUUUGGAUCGUGAAGAUAAAUACAACGGGUUUAUAUAUUAUAACGAAACUGUUAGCGAUGUUCCGAGUACGAAGCCUAAGUCGAGAACUAAAUCAACUGUUUCGAGGGUUUCGACUUUGACAAAACCUACCGCUUCUUUGUUGGCAAGACAGAAUAAACCCUUAGACACUUACUCUACUCAACUCCUGAGAAGAUGUCAGAGGUCAUUAGGGAAGCUCAACGACAAGAUAUCGUCCCUCUUACAUCCUAGAUCCCGAAACCAAGACACCGAAAGACGGAAAAUGGAGGCGGGUUUCUUUUGCAAGGCAGGUUGUGUCAACUCCAACGGCGGCAGAGCCAAAGUCACGGUUCCAAGAGAACCGAACCUCCAAACAGCACAAAGGGCUCGAUCAAGACAUCGGUUUAAGCUUAAUUCAGAAGAACCCGAGCAGCAGAAUGCGAAAUUGAAUUCUGCUUCAUCUAAAAGUCAGCCUACGGAAAAAUACGCAUUUCACCAAAGGACAUCUCUCAAAGCCUCUCAACGCUCUCCUAAUACAUCAAUAAUCAUCGGCUUGCAGGCUAAAAGUGCAACCCCUGAUGACUCGACGAGGGAGAAUGAUACCACGCACUCGCAAAUGCUCAAGUCUCAUGAUCCCUCGACGGGUGGGAAGUUAAAAGGAAUUCGCAGCAUGAAAACAACCCCUAAAGCUUAUGGAUCUGAAAUCUGGCUUCUGGACUCAAAGACAUCAAACAAAGCAGUGGACAUGAAACAUGAGAACAGUUUCCCAAAGUUCAUCCAAGGAGUUCGAAGAUCAACCAGACAGGGGCUUUUGAGAUGAAACCAACCCUGCAAUAGAAUGAGAAACCCUAUUUCCCCAAAAAGAAAAAUUGCUCUCAAAGGAAUAUAUACCUCAUUGCACAGAAAUGGCGAUGAAGAGAUCAUAUUGGAGAGUUUCCACGGGGAAUCAAAGCUCUUGCGGAACUGACAGGAAAUAUCUCCCUCGAUGUUAAAAGACAAGACUUCGUGAUUCUUUGAAACGUCCAAAGAGAUGUCGAGUUUGUAUAUAUCGGUGAAAUGGACCCAACCCAUAUAAUAGCAUCAAAUUGUCUAAAUUAUGUAUAUAUAUUACGUCAUGUAACCAAAUGAAGUGUAUAUAUAUAUGUGUUUGUGUGGAAUGAAUGAUACAUAUCUUGAAUAAAUUCUAAAAAUAUAAUUUUGAUGGCUGAGAUAGAAAUCACGGAUCUAAGCUAAAGAGUUAGAAUGAUAUAUUUUGAAUCAUACAAUUCUAAACGUGUAAUAGUUUAGUAU